UUAUCUUGUCCUGGCAAUUCUGCACCUCGCACUGGCCUUCGUGCGGCCUCUAACACGUGGCCCGAGCCAGCUGACGUCUGGCUUAGGGAACAUCUGAGCGAGCGGAGACCUGUGUGGGCAAGUGUCGGACUCUGGCGGGGAAAGAGAGGGUAGUUCAUUCUCUGCGACCGUGGAAUGAAAACGUACAACUCCGGGAACUGUGGAUCAGUAUAUGUGUCGCUGCCUGCUUCGGGCUCGUGCUGGGAACACGUGGUCUGUGCGCCAGGACCUGGCGUCUGCAAAGGCAACGAGGAGCACUACGAGAUGCGUAUUAAUACCUACCCGCAAAGAUACCAACGCUUCCAGAAGACUGGAAUUCAGGUUCUCCCACCUCGUGACUACCCCACCGACACAGAAUCAAAGGCCAAUUUCACUCACAGAAUUGUAAGAUCCAGUGCGGCUCUUCUCGCCUUCUGAAAGAGCAGAAGACAGUGGGGAAGACAGACUUGAGAAGGAAUGGCCAGUCCCAUGGACCAGGACGGCAGCCGGCAUGGCGGAGGCAGCAGCCUUCCACACUGGAACGGGAGGGGUGGGCGAUGGAUGGUGGAGAGGGAGCCCUGUCACUGAAGCCAGACCCCUCCGAGAUGGAUGACAAUUAUGCAAAUGACCAUAGCAGUUCACUGUCCUGCUCCCAUUCCCUUUUCCCUGCCUCUACUCCUCAAAUUUGAUAUCUACCAUGUGGUUUCAUUCCCAGCACAGCUGGACCGUUUUGGAAGGAAAAUCUCCUUGCUGUCCAUCGCAGCCAUGAAAAGUAAAUCCGAAGGGUGUUCACCGCACAAACUCAGCAUUUGUGUUACAUUCGCUUAGCCAAGUGCUUGGAGCUCACCGUGCCUUACAGGUGCAAAACCAGUCAAGGUCUGAGUGCAGUCUGACAGCAGGUCUAAUCAUUAUCACCUGUGA